rnacentral:sRNA from 1 species
CUAGCGUGCCACUGCGCGAGUUGACCGUGAGAUUCAAAUCAGCCGGCUAAGCAUGUAGAUCUGCCCGGUGAUGGCUUGCGGACGGGGGUUCAAUUCCCCCCGGCUCCACCA